AAAAGAUAAAUACAAGACGAGGGAUGUCACAACUCGACUAAAAGGAGAGGGAAGGGAAUUUUCAAGUGAAGCACUUACAACUUCAACCCUUUUUUUUCUGAAGUUGGAUGGUUCCAACAACAGGUAAAACAACAAAACAGCAAAGAGGAACAAGAACAGGCAUGGAGACACAAAAUAAUGGAACUAAAUAAUGGAAAUCAACAGCUUAAUAGGAAGAAGUCAACUCAAAAAUAGAAUAGACCCCCUCUCCAUCAGUUGUGCCACAAAG